UGGGGAAUAUUGCACAAUGGGCGAAAGCCUGAUGCAGCAACGCCGCGUGAGUGAUGAAGGCCUUCGGGUUGUAAAGCUCUGUCUUUUGGGACGAUAAUGACGGUACCAAAGGAGGAAGCCACGGCUAACUACGUGCCAGCAGCCGCGGUAAUACGUAGGUGGCAAGCGUUGUCCGGACUUACUGGGCGUAAAGGAUGCGUAGGCGGAUUUUUAAGUGAGAUGUGAAAUACCCGGGCUUAACUUGGGUGCUGCAUUUCAAACUGGGAAUCUAGAGUGCGGGAGAGGAGAAUGGAAUUCCUAGUGUAGCGGUGAAAUGCGUAGAGAUUAGGAAGAACACCAGUGGCGAAGGCGAUUCUCUGGACCGUAACUGACGCUGAGGCAUGAAAGCGUGGGUAGCAAACAGGAUUAGAUACCCUGGUAGUCCACGCCGUAAACGAUGAGUACUAGGUGUAGGAGGUAUCGACCCCUUCUGUGCCGCAGUUAACACAAUAAGUACUCCGCCUGGGAAGUACGAUCGCAAGAUUAAAACUU
rnacentral:rRNA from 1 species